AGUGAACGCUGGCGGUAGGCUUAACACAUGCAAGUCGAACGGUAGCACAGUAAGAGCUUGCUGUUACGGGUGGCGAGUAGCGGAUGGGUGAGGAAUACAUCGGCAUCUAUUUUUUCGUGGGGGAUACCGUAGGGAAACUGAUGCUAAUACCGAAUACGAGCUAUGGGUGAAAGCAGGGGUUCUUCGGUUCUUGCGCGAUUGAAUUGGCCGAUGUCGUAUUAGCUAGGUGGCGGGGUAGAGGCCCUCCAAGGUGACGGUCCGUGGCUGGUCUGAGAGGAUGAACCGCCACACUGGAACUGGGACACGGUCCAGAGUCCAACGGGAGGCAGCAGGGGGCAGUAUUGGACAAUGGGCGAAAGGCGAAAGCAGCCAGACCGGAUGGGUGGAGAAGGCCGUCGGGUUGUAAAUCCCUUUUGUUGGGAAAGAAAAGUAGCAGCUUAAUACUGGGUUGUGGUGACGGUAGCGAGUGAAGAAGCACCGGCUAACUUCGUG
rnacentral:rRNA from 1 species